UACGAAGGGGGCUAGCGUUGUUCGGAAUUACUGGGCGUAAAGCGCGCGCAGGCGGUUUUUCAAGUCAGUGGUGAAAGCCCGGAGCUCAACUCCGGAAAUGCCAUUGAAACUGUAAAACUUGAGGACGAGAGAGGUGAGUGGAAUUCCCAGUGUAGAGGUGAAAUUCGUAGAUGUUGGGAAGAACACCGGUGGCGAAGGCGGCUCACUGGCUCGUUUCUGACGCUCAGGCGCGAUAGCGUGGGGAUCAAACAGG
rnacentral:rRNA from 1 species